CCUACGGGUGGCAGCAGUGAGGAAUAUUGGUCAAUGGACGAGAGUCUGAACCAGCCAAGUAGCGUGAAGGAUGACUGCCCUAUGGGUCGUAAACUUCUUUUAUAAAGGAAUAAAACGAGGCACGUGUGCCUUUUUGCAUGUACUUUAUGAAUAAGGAUCGGCUAACUCCGUGCCAGCAGCCGCGGUAAUACGGAGGAUCCGAGCGUUAUCCGGAUUUAUUGGGUUUAAAGGGAGCGUAGAUGGGUUGUUAAGUCAGUUGUGAAAGGUUGCGGCUCAACCGUAAAAUUGCAAUUGAUACUGGCAGUCUUGAGGACAGUUGAGGUAGGCGGAAUUCGUGGUGUAGCGGUGAAAUGCUUAGAUAUCACGAAGAACCCCGAUUGCGAAGGCAGCUUACUAAACUGUGACUGACAUUGAUGCUCGAAAGUGUGGGUAUCAAACAGGAUUAGAUACCCUUGUAGUC
rnacentral:rRNA from 1 species